UGACGACGCAGCCGCCAUGAACACUAAGAUCAUCCUCGUGCUGGCCUUCGCCGCCGUCGCCGCCGCCGACAAGCCGAGCUUCUCCUACGGCGCCCCCAGGGUAGCAUCCAGGGAAUCCUUCGAGUCCUUCGAGUCCACGGAGGCCAAGUACGACUUCCAGUGGGCCGUCGACACGACGACUCC